rnacentral:tRNA from 1 species
GGGAUAGUAGCUUAAUGGCAGAGCAGCGUGGCGCCACUUAAAAACAACGAGAGCAAGAUGCGGGUUCGAGUCCUGCCUAUUCCA